GACCUGGCGGCCCAGAUCCCAUGGUGUCACUGAAACAAAAGGAGAAUUCAUAUCCAUAGGGACACACUGAGUCCUGAACCUGGCAGGAUUCUGCAUUGGUCUUCAAAUGGGCACCAAGCUCUUCCUCUGUGUGGCCUGCUGUCUCCUCUGGGCAGGACACGUGGAAGCUGCAAUUACCCAGAGCCCAAGACAUACUAUCACAAAGACAGGAGAAAAGGUGACUUUGAGCUGCCAUCAGACUUCCAACCAUGACUAUAUGUACUGGUAUCGACAAGACCCAGGGCACGGGCUGCGGCUGAUCUAUUACUCACAUUACGUUACAAACACUCAAAAAGGAGAAGCGUCUGCAGGGUACAGUGUCUCCAGAUCAGACACAGAGGAGUUUCCCCUCACUCUGGAGUCGGCCACCGGCUCCCAGACAUCUGUGUACUUCUGUGCCAGCAGUGACUCCACAGUGCUGCAGGGCCACCUCGCCUCUGCACAGAAAGUGUAAACAGGAAGACGGCUGCUGCCUGUGCUCGGGAGCCCUGG